rnacentral:rRNA from 1 species
GAUGAACGCUGGCGGCGUGCCUAAUACAUGCAAGUCGAGCGAACAGACGAGGAGCUUGCUCCUCUGACGUUAGCGGCGGACGGGUGAGUAACACGUGGAUAACCUACCUAUAAGACUGGGAUAACUUCGGGAAACCGGAGCUAAUACCGGAUAAUAUAUUGAACCGCAUGGUUCAAUAGUGAAAGACGGUUUUGCUGUCACUUAUAGAUGGAUCCGCGCCGCAUUAGCUAGUUGGUAAGGUAACGGCUUACCAAGGCAACGAUGCGUAGCCGACCUGAGAGGGUGAUCGGGCACACUGGAACUGAGACACGGUCCAGACUCCUACGAGAGGCAGCAGUAGGGAAUCUUCCGCAAUGGGCGAAAGCCUGACGGAGCAACGCCGCGUGAGUGAUGAAGGUCUUCGGAUCGUAAAACUCUGUUAUUAGGGAAGAACAAAUGUGUAAGUAACUAUGCACGUCUUGACGGUACCUAAUCAGAAAGCCACGGCUAACUACGUG